rnacentral:lncRNA from 1 species
CUUAAAGAACAUCUUUAUUUAACCUUUAAUAUACAAUAUUACCUUUAAUUUAUAAAAAUUACGUAUGGAGGACAUAACUGGAAAUCACUUCAGGAGUGGCCGGUGGGUACCGAUUUAGGAGGUUAUACUUGCCCCACUUAUUAGUUUAGGGAAAAAUUAUACCAGUGAAUUUGAGACCAGUAAGAUUGAGAAAUGGCAUUUCAACUUCUGAAUCCAGUAUUAAAACUGAGGAUGCUUUAUUCAAACUAUCCAACAAAAACUAAUUUCUAAAUUUUCUAAAAAAUAACUUUUCCCAAGAGGUGAGCUUAUCUCCAUGGAUUUUUCUGGUAUAUAAUUUGCAGUAGAAGUCUGUAGCUUUCAAAUAGCUGCAAUACAUAUUUAAUUAUUUAAAAUCUUCUGCAGAUUAACAUACGUACUAGCAAUGUGGUGGGCUCAAAGGUUAAAGUGGAUUAGUUGUUAAACAGUUAAAAGGCUGAGGAUGCUUUAAUUUAAAUAUAAUGCACACUGACAUUAUGAAAUACUUUUGACUUGA